rnacentral:rRNA from 1 species
GUGGGGAAUUUUGGACAAUGGGCGCAAGCCUGAUCCAGCAAUGCCGCGUGCAGGAAGAAGGCCUUCGGGUUGUAAACUGCUUUUGUACGGAACGAAACGGUCCGGGUUAAUACCCUGGGCUAAUGGCGGUACCGUAAGAAUAAGCACCGGCUAACUACGUGCCAGCAGCCGCGGUAAUACGUAGGGUGCAAGCGUUAAUCGGAAUUACUGGGCGUAAAGCGUGCGCAGGCGGUUUUGUAAGACAGGCGUGAAAUCCCCGGGCUCAACCUGGGAAUUGCGCUUGUGACUGCAAGGCUGGAGUGCGGCAGAGGGGGAUGGAAUUCCGCGUGUAGCAGUGAAAUGCGUAGAUAUGCGGAGGAACACCGAUGGCGAAGGCAAUCCCCUGGGCCUGCACUGACGCUCAUGCACGAAAGCGUGGGGAGCAAACAGGAUUAGAAACCCCUGUAGUCC